ACCGUAUAGGGGAGCCGGAGGGAAACCGAGUCUUAAUUGGGCGUUAAGUUGCAGGGUAUAGACCCGAAACCCGGUGAUCUAGCCAUGGGCAGGUUGAAGGUUGGGUAACACUAACUGGAGGACCGAACCGACUAAUGUUGAAAAAUUAGCGGAUGACCUGUGGCUGGGGGUGAAAGGCCAAUCAAACCGGGAGAUAGCUGGUUCUCCCCGAAAGCUAUUUAGGUAGCGCCUCGUGAAUUCAUCUCCGGGGGUAGAGCACUGUUUCGGCUAGGGGGCCAUCCCGGCUUACCAACCCGAUGCAAACUGCGAAUACCGGAGAAUGUUAUCACGGGAGACACACGGCGGGUGCUAACGUCCGUCGUGAAGAGGGAAACAACCCAGACCGCCAGCUAAGGUCCCAAAGUCAUGGUUAAGUGGGAAACGAUGUGGGAAGGCCCAGACAGCCAGGAUGUUGGCUUAGAAGCAGCCAUCAUUUAAAGAAAGCGUAAUAGCUCACUGGUCGAGUCGGCCUGCGCGGAAGAUGUAACGGGGCUAAACCAUGCACCGAAGCUGCGGCAGCGAACGUAUCACCCAAGACAACUUUACGGAGUUGACGAUUGACGGAGCGAAGCGACGUCAAAGCGUUCAUUAAAGUCGAGUUGGCUUAGGGAUACGUUCGUUGGGUAGGGGAGCGUUCUGUAAGCCUGUGAAGGUGUGUCGUGAGGCAUGCUGGAGGUAUCAGAAGUGCGAAUGCUGACAUAAGUAACGAUAAAGCGGGUGAAAAGCCCGCUCGCCGGAAGACCAAGGGUUCCUGUCCAACGUUAAUCGGGGCAGGGUGAGUCGACCCCUAAGGCGAGGCCGAAAGGCGUAGUCGAUGGGAAACGGGUUAAUAUUCCCGUACUUGGUGUUACUGCGAAGGGGGGACGGAGAAGGCUAUGUUGGCCGGGCGACGGUUGUCCCGGUUUAAGCGUGUAGGUGUGUGUUCCAGGUAAAUCCGGUUCACUUUAACACUGAGGCGUGACGACGAGGCACUACGGUGCUGAAGCAACAAAUGCCCUGCUUCCAGGAAAAGCCUCUAAGCAUCAGGUAACAUCAAAUCGUACCCCAAACCGACACAGGUGGUCAGGUAGAGAAUACCAAGGCGCUUGAGAGAACUCGGGUGAAGGAACUAGGCAAAAUGGUGCCGUAACUUCGGGAGAAGGCACGCUGACACGUAGGUGAAGUGAUUUACUCAUGGAGCUGAAGUCAGUCGAAGAUACCAGCUGGCUGCAACUGUUUAUUAAAAACACAGCACUGUGCAAACACGAAAGUGGACGUAUACGGUGUGACGCCUGCCCGGUGCCGGAAGGUUAAUUGAUGGGGUCAGCGCAAGCGAAGCUCCUGAUCGAAGCCCCGGUAAACGGCGGCCGUAACUAUAACGGUCCUAAGGUAGCGAAAUUCCUUGUCGGGUAAGUUCCGACCUGCACGAAUGGCGUAAUGAUGGCCAGGCUGUCUCCACCCGAGACUCAGUGAAAUUGAACUCGCUGUGAAGAUGCAGUGUACCCGCGGCAAGACGGAAAGACCCCGUGAACCUUUACUAUAGCUUGACACUGAACAUUGAGCCUUGAUGUGUAGGAUAGGUGGGAG
rnacentral:rRNA from 1 species